rnacentral:rRNA from 1 species
CCUCAGUAACGGCGAGUGAAGCGGCAACAGCUCAAAUUUGAAAUCUGGCCCUAGGCCCGAGUUGUAAUUUGCAGAGGAUGCUUUUGGUGCGGUGCCUUCCAAGUUCCCUAGAACGGGACGCCAGAGAGGGUGAGAGCCCCGUACAGUUGGACACCAAGCCUUUGUAAAGCUCCUUCGACGAGUCGAGUAGUUUGGGAAUGCUGCUCAAAAUGGGAGGUAUAUUUCUUCUAAAGCUAAAUACCGGCCAGAGACCGAUAGCGCACAAGUAGAGUGAUCGAAAGAUGAAAAGCACUUUGAAAAGAGGGUUAAACAGCACGUGAAAUUGUUAAAAGGGAAGCGCUUGUGACCAGACUUGCGUCCGGUGAAUCACCCAGCUCUCGCGGCUGGGGCACUUCGCCGGCUCAGGCCAGCAUCAGCUCGCUGUCGGGGACAAAAGCUUCAGGAACGUAGCUCUCUUCGGGGAGUGUUAUAGCCUGUUGCAUAAUACCCUUCGGCGGGCUGAGGUACGCGCUCCGCAAGGAUGCUGGCAUAAUGGUCAUCAGCGACCCGUCUUGAAACACGGACCAAGGAGUCAACCUUAUGUGCGAGUGUUCGGGUGUCAAACCCCUACGCGUAAUGAAAGUGAACGCAGGUGAGAGCUUCGGCGCAUCAUCGACCGAUCCUGAUGUUCUCGGAUGGAUUUGAGUAAGAGCAUAUAGGGUUGGACCCGAAAGAAGGUGAACUAUGCGUGUAUAGGGUGAAGCCAGAGGAAACUCUGGUGGAGGCUCGCAGCGGUUCUGACGUGCAAAUCGAUCGUCAAAUAUGCGCA